rnacentral:rRNA from 1 species
AGAGUUUGAUCCUGGCUCAGGACGAACGCUGGCGGCGCGCUUAACACAUGCAAGUCGUACGGAGGGCUUCGGCCCUCAGUGGCGAACGGGUGCGUAACACGUGAGCAACCUGCCUGUGGGUGGGGGAUAACCCGGGGAAACCCGGGCUAAUACCGCACGAUGUCACCUGGCCGAUUGGCUGGGUGAUGAAAGGGGCUUAACGGCCUCGCCCGCAGAGGGGCUCGCGGCGUAUCAGCUAGUUGGUGGGGUAACGGCCCACCAAGGCAACGACGCGUAGCCGAUCUGAGAGGAUGAUCGGCCACAUUGGGACUGAGAUACGGCCCAGACUCCUACGGGAGGCAGCAGUGGGGAAUCUUGCGCAAUGGGCGAAAGCCUGACGCAGCGACGCCGCGUGCGGGAGGAAGCCUUUCGGGGUGUAAACCGCUGUCAGGGGGGAAGAAAGGGCAGGGGAGGAAAUGCCUCUGUUUUGACGGUACCUCCAAAGGAAGCACCGGCUAACUCUGUGCCAGCAGCCGCGGUAAUACAGAGGGUGCGAGCGUUGUUCGGAAUUACUGGGCGUAAAGCGCGCGCAGGCGGCCCUUUAAGUCUACCCGUGAAAUGCCGGAGCUCAACUCCGUGCACGCCGGGGGAUACUGGAGGGCUGGAGACAGGUAGAGGCAGGCGGAAUUCCGGGUGUAGCGGUGGAAUGCGUAGAGAUCCGGAAGAACACCAGAGGCGAAGGCGGCCUGCUGGGCCUUGUCUGACGCUGAGGCGCGAAAGCGUGGGGAGCGAACAGGAUUAGAUACCCUAGUAGUCC